ACUUCCUACGGGAGGCAGCAGUGGGGGAUAUUGCACAGUGGGGGGAACCCUGAUGCAGCGACGCCGCGUGGGUGAAGGAGCGUUUCGGCGCGUAAAGCCCUAUCGGCAGGGAAGAAGGAGGACGGUACCUGACUAAGAAGCCCCGGCUAAAUACGUGCCAGCAGCCGCGGUAAUACGUAUGGUGCAAGCGUUAUCCGGCUUUACUGGGUGUAAAGGGAGCGCAGGCGGCACGGCCAGCCUGAUGUGAAAGCCCGCGGCCCAAC
rnacentral:rRNA from 1 species